UGUUUCGGCUAGGGGGCCAUCCCGGCUUACCAACCCGAUGCAAACUGCGAAUACCGGAGAAUGUUAUCACGGGAGACACACGGCGGGUGCUAACGUCCGUCGUGAAGAGGGAAACAACCCAGACCGCCAGCUAAGGUCCCAAAGUCAUGGUUAAGUGGGAAACGAUGUGGGAAGGCCCAGACAGCCAGGAUGUUGGCUUAGAAGCAGCCAUCAUUUAAAGAAAGCGUAAUAGCUCACUGGUCGAGUCGGCCUGCGCGGAAGAUGUAACGGGGCUAAACCAUGCACCGAAGCUGCGGCAGCGACACUGUGUGUUGUUGGGUAGGGGAGCGUUCUGUAAGCCUGUGAAGGUGGCCUGUGAGGGUUGCUGGAGGUAUCAGAAGUGCGAAUGCUGACAUAAGUAACGAUAAAGCGGGUGAAAAGCCCGCUCGCCGGAAGACCAAGGGUUCCUGUCCAACGUUAAUCGGGGCAGGGUGAGUCGACCCCUAAGGCGAGGCCGAAAGGCGUAGUCGAUGGGAAA
rnacentral:rRNA from 1 species